rnacentral:rRNA from 1 species
GUCGUAACCGGGCUGAAGUCGUACCGUAAGGAGCGGUGGACUGGUUACGAGUGAGAAUGUUGGCAUCAGUAGCGAGAUGUGGGUGAGAAUCCCACAGGCCGAAAACCUAAGGUUUCCUCAGGAAGGUUCGUCCGCUGAGGGUUAGUCGGGACCUAAGCCGAGGCCGAAAGGCGUAGGUGAUGGACAACUGGUUGAUAUUCCAGUACCACUAUAAUCGUUAUUAUCGAUGGCGUGACGCAGGAGGAUAGUGUGUGCUAGCUAUUGGAUGCUAGUCUAAGCGUUUAGGCAGUGAGAGUAGGCAAAUCCGCUCUCAUAAUGCUGAGGCGUGAUGGGGAAGGUUCUACGGAACCGAAGUACAUGAUUCCACGCUGCCAAGAAAAGCGUCUAGAGAGAGAAGUAGUGCCCGUACCGCAAACCGACACAGGUAGGUGAGGAGAGAAUCCUAAGGCCGGCGGAAGAAUUACAGUUAAGGAACUCGGCAAAUUGACCCCGUAAGUUCGCGAGAAGGGGUGCCUACGAGAGUAGGCCGCAGAGAAUAGGCCCAAGCAACUGUUUAGCAAAAACACAGGUCUCUGCUAAAGCGUAAGCUGAUGUAUAGGGGCUGACGCCUGCCCGGUGCUGGAAGGUUAAGGGGAACACUUAGCGCAAGCGAAGGUGUGAACUUAAGCCCCAGUAAACGGCGGCCGUAACUAUAACGGUCCUAAGGUAGCGAAAUUCCUUGUCAGGUAAGUUCUGACCCGCACGAAUGGCGUAAUGACUUGGGCACUGUCUCAACUGUAAAUCCGGCGAAGUUGUAGUGCGAGUGAAGAUGCUCGCUACCCGCGAUUGGACGGAAAGACCCCGUAGAGCUUUACUGUAGCUUAGCAUUGAGUUUUGGUAUUGUCUGUACAGGAUAGGUGGGAGACUAGGAAACCAGGGCGUCAGCCUUGGUGGAGUCAACCUUGGGAUACCACCCUGACAGUACUGAAAUUCUAACUGGCGGCCAUGAAUCUGGUCACAGGACAUUGUUAGGUGGGCAGUUUGACUGGGGCGGUCGCCUCCUAAAAAGUAACGGAGGCGCCCAAAGGUUCCCUCAGAACGGUCGGAAAUCGUUCGAAGAGUGCAAAGGCAGAAGGGAGCCUGACUGCGACACCCACAAGUGGAGCAGGGACGAAAGUCGGGCUUAGUGAUCCGGUGGUACCUCGUGGGAGGGCCAUCGCUCAACGGAUAAAAGCUACCUCGGGGAUAACAGGCUGAUCUCCCCCAAGAGUCCACAUCGACGGGGAGGUUUGGCACCUCGAUGUCGGCUCGUCGCAUCCUGGGGCUGAAGUAGGUCCCAAGGGUUGGGCUGUUCGCCCAUUAAAGCGGCACGCGAGCUGGGUUCAGAACGUCGUGAGACAGUUCGGUCCCUAUCCGUCGCGGGCGUAGGAAAUUUGAGAGGAGCUGUCCUUAGUACGAGAGGACCGGGAUGGACUGACCUCUGGUGUACCAGUUGUUCCGCCAGGAGCACAGCUGGGUAGCUAAGUCGGGAAUGGAUAAACGCUGAAAGCAUCUAAGCGUGAAGCCAACCUCAAGAUGAGAUUUCCCAUAGCGUAAGCUAGUAAGAUCCCUUGAAGAACACAAGGUUGAUAGGUCGGGGGUGUAAGCAUGGUAACAUGUUCAGCUGACCGAUACUAAUAGAUCGAGGGCUUGACCAAAU